GCUGAUCACGCAAUCAGCUGUAGGUUAUAAUGGGAAUGUGUAGGGAGCAAGAGCACAGGAGUGGGGGGAGCUCAUGUAAGAUGAGGAAAGGCUCAAGUAUAGAUAAAGGUUUGGAUCCAAACAGCAUAGUGACUUACACAGAGUGAGGAUUUUAUCUGUGUCCUGUUUUCCCAAAACAGCCAUAUGUAUCACUUUCCCUCUACAAUCCCAUGAGAAACACCAGUUUUCUGCAAGGUGAGGACACAAUGAGAAGCAAAGAUUCAAGCACCAUAUGAUAGCAGCAAGAGCAACUGGCAAUUGUUAAAUGUGCUGUGUGCUUGACAAACCUGAAAGAUCUCCAACAGGCAUCCAUUUCAGGAGGCAGCCUGGUGUAUCUUUUAGCCUUGUGUUUUUAAAAUGUCAAGAGGCAGCCACAGAAGCCCACAGAAAGUCAUGAUUUCCAUCCCAAAUAUCAAAUGAAAGUUGGUCACAUAGUAUUUGUGCCCUUGAUUACUUAAUUUCUGGGACAUCUCUUGUCAGAUUCCAUUCAGCUUUCUGACUUCCAGUAUGGUCCUUCUGCGAGUCCCCCCCUCCAAAUAAUUCUUUCCUACUCAUGUUGCAUUGUAGCCUGUUUACCCCAUUAUCAGAUAGUUGCAGCGAACAAUGUAGCACUUAGGUGGCCUUUAGCCUUGCUCAAACACUUCCCCUCUCACUGUCUUCUGCAUUCAGUUUAAAGCUUGAGGUAAUUAAAUUUCUCUUUUUCCCUCUAGCAACAUUGAUCUAUAUUGGAUAUUUAGGCUCCAGAGAAUCAAAAGCUCUUUAUUCCUGCCUGGAAUAUCUUGCCCUCAGAUUUAUUCCCUACGUGCAUGAAAUAAAUGAAGAAGGAGUAAUGUACUGAAGUCAUAGCAGAAAGAUUUGUUAACCAUGACAUGGCAGUUUGACUGUCUUGGCUAGACUCUUUUAACUGAUGCGUUGAAGCAGCUUUAGUUUCUAGUUUGGCUUUGGUCAUUAUCUUUCAACCAGAAGUGGACGGGACAGCCCUUUCAAUAGAGAAUGCCUUCAAAGAGAGGACUACAGAACACAUAGACAACUAUAGAACAAAAGAGAACACACGACCACUCCAACUAAAGUAUUUUUUUUCAUACUGAUAUAGUUUGCUUGUUUAAACAUGAUGAACAGCAUGGACUUCAUGGAGCCUUACCAGCUAUCUCCAACUGAAGACCUUCAGUGCAGGACUGAGUUUAGCUUUGUUUGUGAAAGUGACACAAUGGCUAAUCUUCAGCAGGAUAUUGGAGGGAUAAAACUACCCCAAUUGUCCAUUCAGGAAGGAAGGAAGAGGAAAGAUGGCAAGAAGACACUGGAGCCCUGAGGUGUAACAAAAGGUUGAACUUACACAUUGUCGGCAUUUUCUCAAAUGUUAUCCCUACCUUCCCAACUCUCCAUGAGACCUAGCACUGUACCAAAAUCUGUCCUCCAGUUUCUCAGAAGUUAACCUGCAAAAGAGGAUUCCAUUUUUUACCUUCUUGCAGGGUGCUUUAGAAUUUCAGUGAGGAUGGAACUGGGCACCCUUUAUUGUUGU